UGGGGCGGAAGGUAGGGGCCGGGGGAAGGCUGGAAAUCGAAAGCUGGCCUUGCCGCGCCGCGCCGCGCGUGCGCCGGAAGUCCAAUGAUUUGUCAGCCAGAGUAACGGCUGUCGCCAGGUCCUCAGGGUCUCGAGGGUCUUGUUCUGUCACCUAGGCUGGAGUACAGUAGUGUGAUCAUGGUUCACUGCAGCCUCAACCUCCUGGACUCAAGCAGUCGUCCCACCUCUGCUGACCAAGUAGCUGGGACUACAGACAUGUGCCACCGUGCCUCACUAAGGGAGAAGAAAGGCAUAAGGAAAAGAGGAAGAUUGUUAUUAUCAAUAUAUUUCGUAUUGGAAAAGGGC